rnacentral:tRNA from 1 species
UAAAUAUUAGUGUUCAUGCACUUAGAACUUUGAAUUCUACAGCAAUAGAGUAUUCUAUUAUAUUUAA